ACAUCUCAACUCCUCACGGUUUGCCCGUGAUGAGCUUGGACUUUGGGGGUCUUGCCGGCCUGCAGGUCGGCUCCUCUCAAAUGAAUCAGCUUGCCGGUGUUUGGUGGCGUCACAGGUGUGAUAACUAUCUACGCUUGUGGUUUUCCGCCGAGCAACCUCCAGCAAUGGGGGUUCACUGGAGCUCACAAACGUCUCUCCUCAGCGAGGAUGGCUUUUUGAAC
rnacentral:misc_RNA from 1 species